ensembl:lncRNA
GUCCAAUGCAAAUAGAUGAUGGAGGGAAGAUUGCAGUUAAGAGAAGACUUUCCACAUAACACAACAUAAUCCACAGUACCGGACUCCAGUGGAGAUUAGACAGAUAGGUCAUAAGAAAAUAAAAAGAAGGGUUUAGUAUGCUGAAAACUGUGUGAGGGGAUGUCCGCGUUCCAAAACAGACAAUCCGACAAGCUUGCCUGUUUCCUGCAGGAGGAGGCCAGAUGUCAGAACAAGCAGCAACCUAGCGGAGAAGACGGAGGGGCCGAAAACUUGAAGUUCAUCCAACGGCCACCAUCCGCACGGAGCUACGUGUUAAAAGGACCAACUUCACGGCCUACAAAGCAGGACAAAUGCAGCGGUGGUCAUAAUGUUACUUCACUACGUUAUUUACAGCCGUUACGAUACGCUAUGACACCCACCCGAUGUGAAACACAUGUAAACACUCCGGUGACUUUGCUGCAUUAAAAUGAUUCAUCCUUUGGGGACGGUGCAGCAUGUCUGUGAACGCUGCAUCGCCGAUGAUCCAAACGUUAUCGAGAGGCCACAUCAGCUCAGAUUGUCCACAAAAUUAGGCAAAGAGGCCUUGAAAGCCUCACAGCGACAGAUGCAGUCAUUUGGCUGAGCGGCCGGGGACUCGCCUCCUGCCUAGCAAAGAUUUAGCAUUUGACCUACGCUGGCCACAAGAAGAUGCGGGCGGUUUGGACCGACUGCAACCUGAACUGCCACAUAAAAUGACUCACCUGACGCUGACUGGGCGUCACAUUUUCCCCCACCCAAUUUUUUAUGAGAGCAAAGCCAAUGUUGAAACUGAAGCAUAAACCCACCCAGCGCUCUCUGGCCCACUUGUUUUCUUUAGCGUAAAUGUUGCUGAUGCAGAAUGGAUGGAGGGAUGAAAAGUGAGAAUCAGUGACUCACUUUAUUUGGUCUGUUCACAUUCUGGCGGGCGUGAUGUGUAUAUCACGUUCCCAUGGUAGCUCUGAGGGUAUCCCGAAUUUUGUUUCCACCAUGUUUCCAUGUACGGAAUAGAGAUGCACAGUAUUUAGUGUUUUCUUUUGACUUCGCAGGUACCAGACAGACGUGCGGUGCCUCGGGGGAAACUCCCCUCCUCUGUGGGCCGAAUGCUGCGCAGGGGAAACCAUCACUCACUGUCCAUGCCUCCGUCAGGAUGGUGACGAUGCUGUCUGUUGGUGUAAGCUUGACGGAUGCCUCACAUGCAGGCGGAGGUCGCCCCGAGAGGGUGGAGGGCCACGAGACACCUUCGGCCACUUUCACAGAGAAAGGAUGGAGGUAAAGGAUUACCUCCGUCAAUGUUUGUAUUUGUGUCUUUGUUUCACUGAUUUAAACAUUUUUGAAUUUUUGACUAAUUGUACACUUUAUUGUUACUAUCCAAAUCUUCUUUUUAAUCUUUAUCAAUGAAGAUGAGUCAAACUGACACUUUGAGAACACAGAUUUGAAGCAUAAGACUCUGAUCUAAAUUAAAACAAACAUCUUGAUCUAUUCAUUUUAUAUUUUGCAUAUUAAAUAGCAUGUCUAGGCCAGGGAGAGGAUAGCACAUUUUCUUGAACAGCAUAGGGUUGAAACAAUUUAGUAUUAUUUUUUAAUCCAGAAUUUUCUUUUGGCUUAGAAAGGCGAGUGUGUUCUUUUUGUCCAUCCACCUGCCGUCUCGCCUACCGCAGCGCGCUACGUCACCAUCUCCGGGAGACGCACACACAGGUGUAUGCGUUAAAUUCCGUUGGUUGUACGUGAAGCAACUGUCAAGCAGUCACAACCUUUUCUUUUCAUGUGUUUCUGUGAGAUACGGCCAAUUUAACCAAUCCCUGAAUGGGGGAGAACACAAAUAUUUAACAUUUUAAAUGAUUGUAAAUUUAGCAUGGUAAAUAUUUGUACUGCUACAGCGAUUCUGAAAGGACUGCAUCAUUAAAAGCAGCAGAACACAACAAAUAUAUUUAUCUCUAUGUAGAAAUCUUAAAUAUACCUUAUCAGGGGAGACUUCUGCUUUCUAAACACAGCCAAAUCUCUCUUUCCUCUCCGGGUCCCGCAAGAGACACGCAAAGCAGCCCUGUGGUCUCAGGAUGUCCGAACGCUGUUUGAAGUUUAUCUAACUACCAUAUGUAUUUGUUUUUCCCAGCAGAGUAAAUGAUGAUUCUAUCUGUCCACUUAUCAUCCGGCCCCCCCACCACCGUGCACAUGUUAUUUAUUAUGAAAUGACACCUCGCUGUCCGGAGAGCCUGCUGCAGUGGGCGUGAUUCAUAGAGGCGGACCAUGGGACACAGGAAGACCAUUAAAAACCCUAUCAACAUCAUGUCACAGUUGGUGGAAAACGAGGGGGGGGAACUGGACAGCCAGCGAGAUGUUUUAUGGUCAAGCCUGUUUUACAAACGGGGAGUACAGGUCAAGAAACCGUGAUCCAGCCAGGAUCCCAAUUGUGUCAUGAUUGUCUUCCAGCGGAAUAAUCUGAGCAUGGUGGAAACAGUUGGACAUUUUGGUGUGGUUUCUUUUCCGGAUGAGAGUUAGAGGGAAAUAUCUAUAUAACUCUCAUGUGUGAAUGGAAAAAAAUGGAGGCUAAUGUAGAGUUGACAUAUCCUAGUUUGUGAUGUACAAAUGCAAAUAUAAUCCGAUAUAAAGGAAUACUCAAAACUUA